UUAAUUGAAGCCAAAAUAGAGGCCUUUCAUUGUUAAUGAAAAAAAUGACCUUAAGUCCAAUUAAA
rnacentral:tRNA from 1 species